CAAACUGUCACGGUCCAUCCCCAAGGCCACAGGCCAUGCCCUGGGCUCUGGGGGCUGUCAGGCCGCCCUGCAGUGUCCCCUCUCUGGGUCCAGAGGGGUUGGAAGACAUCCCAAGGGGGUGCUGCACCAUCAGCUGUUCCCUCCCCACCCCAGGGAGCACCCCUUUGCUGGUGGGGGGACCACGAGCAACUCUUCAGCCUCUCCAGAGCAGCAGCACAUCAAGGCACGGUCCUGCAAGGGAGGACAAACCUCCCCGAGGAGGCUGCUGCUUGGAGGAGUCUCCCCCAGCUUUGGGAAGGCGACUUUACAACCCACCUGAGCCCCCAAACCCAGCAGCACCCCUCAAAUCCUCCUGCUCAGCCCCCCCUGCCCUUUCCACAACCAUCCAGGCAGCAAGGACCACUUCUUCCUGCCCCCUCCCAGUCUCAGCUUCCCCCCAGGCUCCAUAUUUUUUCUCCUUCACCCUCCAGAAAGGCAUUUGAAGGUGACACCAUCCUGGAUGUCCAGUCAACAGGACUCUGCCCCCAGGGGACUCGGAACCAGAGGACUUUGGUAGCUCCAGCCCACCCAGGAGAGCCCCUCUGCUCGGUGGGAUGGUGGGUGGGCAAAGCCAGGCAAGAGAAGAAGGGGGGCAAUUCCACCUUCUCCAGAAAGAAAAACCCAUCCCUUCUCCCUGCACAGACACGACAGGACAAAUUUGGAUAUAUGUGCACAUCAUCUUUAACGUAUGGACAUUCACACAGACCUGGACAUUAUUCACGGACACAAGGAAUGUUUGGGAUCCAUUGGUGUCUCCUUGGGGAAAUGGUGGCUGCAAAGGUGCCCGUGCUGCCAGGAAGGGCUGAAGGGACAGAAGAGCAAAAGACCUCACAAAAAGUGACCUCCAUCAACCCAAAGAGGGGUUUCCCAGCGCUGCUGGACCUGGGGACUGAUGCACAUCUCAAGAGGUUGCUCAAGCAGGGACAGAGAGGUGUCCUUGGGGGGUCUCAGUUCUCCUGGGGGCUUGGGCUGAGGUCUCCCACAGCCACAGUUGGGAAUUCCUCCUCCCUAAGACCCAAGAUUCGACCCAUGGCAUUGACAGAACCUGCCCCACAGCCAGCAGCAGGACACGGCACAUGGCUGUCACACCUCACCAAACAGGAUAGAAAGGGGGAGCUUUUACAUACUAUUUCCUUUGGUUUUGUCCCAAAAGCGGACUGA
rnacentral:lncRNA from 1 species